rnacentral:rRNA from 1 species
UGGGGAAUUUUGGACAAUGGGGGAAACCCUGAUCCAGCCAUCCCGCGUGUGCGAUGAAGGCCUUCGGGUUGUAAAGCACUUUUGGCAGGAAAGAAACGUCGCGGGUUAAUACCCCGCGAAACUGACGGUACCUGCAGAAUAAGCACCGGCUAACUACGUGCCAGCAGCCGCGGUAAUACGUAGGGUGCAAGCGUUAAUCGGAAUUACUGGGCGUAAAGCGUGCGCAGGCGGUUCGGAAAGAAAGAUGUGAAAUCCCAGAGCUUAACUUUGGAACUGCAUUUUUAACUACCGGGCUAGAGUGUGUCAGAGGGAGGUGGAAUUCCGCGUGUAGCAGUGAAAUGCGUAGAUAUGCGGAGGAACACCGAUGGCGAAGGCAGCCUCCUGGGAUAACACUGACGCUCAUGCACGAAAGCGUGGGGAGCAAACAGGAUUAGAUACCCUGGUAGUCACGCCCUAAACGAUGUCAACUAGCUGUUGGGGCCUUCGGGCCUUGGUAGCGCAGCUAACGCGUGAAGUUGACCGCCUGGGGAGUACGGUC